CCUACGGGAGGCUGCAGUGAGGAAUAUUGGUCAAUGGGCGCGAGCCUGAACCAGCCAAGUAGCGUGAAGGAUGACUGCCCUACGGGUUGUAAACUUCUUUUAUAAAGGAAUAAAGUGAGGCACGUGUGCCUUUUUGUAUGUACUUUAUGAAUAAGGCUCGGCUAACUCCGUGCCAGCAGCCGCGGUAAUACGGAGGAUCCGAGCGUUAUCCGGAUUUAUUGGGUUUAAAGGGAGCGUAGAUGGGUUGUUAAGUCAGUUGUGAAAGUUUGCGGCUCAACCGUAAAAUUGCAAUUGAUACUGGCAGGCUUGAGUACAGUUGAGGUAGGCGGAAUUCGUGGUGUAGCGGUGAAAUGCUUAGAUAUCACGAAGAACACCGAUGGCGAAGGCAGCUUACUAAACUGCCACUGACAUUGAGGCUCGAAAGUGUGGGUAUCAAACAGGAUUAGAUACCCGGGUAGUC
rnacentral:rRNA from 1 species